rnacentral:rRNA from 1 species
UACGGAGGGUGCAAGCGUUGUCCGGAUUUAUUGGGUUUAAAGGGUGCGUAGGCGGCAGAUUAAGUCAGCGGUGAAAUUCCACAGCUCAACUGUGGAACUGCCAUUGAUACUGGUUUGCUUGAGUACAGAUGAGGUAGGCGGAAUUGACAGUGUAGCGGUGAAAUGCUUAGAUAUUGUCAAGAACACCUAUUGCGAAGGCAGCUUACUAAGCUGUAACUGACGCUGAGGCACGAAAGCGUGGGGAGCAAACAGG